rnacentral:rRNA from 1 species
AUUGAACGCUGGCGGCAUGCUUUACACAUGCAAGUCGAGCGGCAGCGCGGGAGCAAUCCUGGCGGCGAGCGGCGAACGGGUGAGGAAACCAUCGGAACGUGCCCCGGAGUGGGGGAUAACGCCGCGAAAGCGGCGCUAAUACCGCAUAUGCUCUGAGGAGGAAAGCGGGGGACCUGCAAGGGCCUCGCGCUCUGGGAGCGGCCGAUGUCCGAUUAGCUAGUUGGUGGGGUAAAGGCCUACCAAGGCGACGAUCGGUAGCUGGUCUGAGAGGAUGAUCAGCCACACUGGGACUGGGACACGGCCCAGACUCCUACGGGAGGCAGCAGUGGGGAAUUUUGGACAAUGGGGGCAACCCUGAUCCAGCCAUGCCGCGUGCGGGAAGAAGGCCUUCGGUUGUAAACUACUGUCAUCAGGAAGAAGAAAGUAGACGGUACCGUGAGGAGGAAGCCCCGGGCUAACGUAACGUGCCAGCAGCCGCGGUAAGUCUAGUCUACG